AGAGGCAGUGUUGUACGCCAAGUCACAAAUCCCAGAGGACCAGCCAGGUCUGCCUGUGGGAGGAAGGGCAGGAGCUCAAAGGACAGAAGCUGGAGACUUGAGCACAGGAGCGCCAGGCGGGAGGGCAUCUUUGACAGUGUCCACCACUCCCACUCUGUUGGAAAUGCUGCUCCCGUGUCCUCCUGGCCCUCUGUAAUGGGCCACCUGUGCCAGCCUAAGGCUAUUCCUCAGUUUAUGCCUAUCGCCCCAUCCUGCCCAGUGAUGUGCUUGAAGAUUCUGCUUACAACUUGAGGACGGAAGCCCCAAGGAGUCCUCCCAAAACUAAGCAGCUAAGAGGGGUGACCCUUCUGAGCUAGACCCCGGCUCUCACAGGUAUCUAAACAGAGCUACGGCAUUUCCCAUUCUACUUACAGUUUAGAGUCCAGCUUCAGGAGGAAACCCAGCCUAUCAUACUCUGAAAAGGAAAAGCAGAAAACGUCACUGGAGUCAAGUCACUGCUGCCACAGUGGGCUGCAUUCCCAGAUCUACACCAUGGAGACAGGCAGUGCCUGCAAAAGAAUACAUGCUUCAAACGCUUCCACGAACAGCAGCAAACAUACGCCUUAAUAAAUAUCAAGGUACAGCCCAUCAUGGUGGGGAAGCCUAGUGGUGAGACCUUGAAGUGGCUGUGUUACAGUCAGAAAGCAGAGAGCAACACAGGGUCCCCUUUCAGGUGGCUGUCCUCCUCCUUACUCAGCCCAGGACUCCAGCCCAUGGAACGGUGCCACCCAAAUAUAAGGGUUCCACUAAGUAACACAUGGCCGGCCUGAGGCCUUGCUAUUAUAGACCAGGCUAACUCCGAUAUCAGAGAUCUGCUUCUAUGUCCAGAGUACUGGGAUUGAAGCCAUGCACCACCACACCUGCUUUCAGGACCACAGCUCUGAAUGCAUCGAAAGUUCCAUAAGACUGGAUGCUCUAAUUCUGGAUUCGCCAGUCAAAGUGAUUGUGGGUUUCUGUUACUUCAAAACUAUCAAGAACAUCACUGGGCUUAUACACGCAGAACAUUAAGGGGACAGAAGGAAUCCAAAUAAAGAAUUUAUCAUGUGA